rnacentral:rRNA from 1 species
CAGCAGCGCGGUAAUGCGUAGGGUGCAAGCGUUAAUCGGAAUUACUGGGCGUAAAGCGUGCGCAGGCGGUUUGUUAAGACAGAUGUGAAAUCCCCGGGCUCAACCUGGGAACUGCAUUUGUGACUGGCAAGCUAGAGUGUGGCAGAGGGGGGUGGAAUUCCGCGUGUAGCAGUGAAAUGCGUAGAUAUGCGGAGGAACACCGAUGGCGAAGGCAGCCCCCUGGGCCAACACUGACGCUCAUGCACGAAAGCGUGGGGAGCAAACAGGAUUAGAUACCCCGGUAGUCCCUGUCUCUUAUACA